GACGAACGCUGGCGGCGUGCUUAACACAUGCAAGUCGAGCGGAGCGGCGGACGGGUGAGUAACGCGUGAGUAACUGCCCCCCUCUCUGGGAUAACAGUUGGAAACGGCUGCUAAUACCGGAUAGUGGGGGAUGACUCGGGUCCUAUCAGCUUGUUGGUGGGGUAGUGGCCUACCAAGGCGACGACGGGUAGCCGGCCUGCGGUGGCGACCGGCCAAUUGGGGCUGAGACACGGCCCAAACUCCUACUGGAGGCAGCAGGGUGGAAUAUUGCACAAGGGGGGAAACCAUGAUGCAGCAACGCCGCGUGCGGGAUGAUGGCCUUCGGGUGGUAAGCCGCUUUCAUCCAUGACGCGGUAGUGGCAGAAGAAGCACCGGCUAACUACGUGCCAGCAGCCGCGGUAAUAC
rnacentral:rRNA from 1 species